UACGUAGGGUGCAAGCGUUAAUCGGAAUUACUGGGCGUAAAGCGUGCGCAGGCGGUUAUGUAAGACAGGUGUGAAAUCCCCGGGCUUAACCUGGGAACUGCAUUUGUGACCGCAUAGCUAGAGUACGGUAGAGGGGGAUGGAAUUCCGCGUGUAGCAGUGAAAUGCGUAGAUAUGCGGAGGAACACCGAUGGCGAAGGCAAUCCCUGGACCUGUACUGACGCUCAUGCACGAAAGCGUGGGAGCAAACAGG
rnacentral:rRNA from 1 species